rnacentral:lncRNA from 1 species
AACGGUCCCCCACUGCGGUGCUGCUCUGCACUUGUCGGAGCCUACAUCCGUUAUCACACGGGGGGUUAGCCCAAUUAAUACUCGUAUACGAGUAAUAAAGAGGAGAUGCUGCAGUACUGUACUCUCGUCCAGCUCUCCGGUAGAGGAAGGGUGGGUGGACACGACGGCGGUGUGCUUCAACUGUCGCAACACUGGAAUGCGGUUGCACGGCGUCCAAAAUCCUCCACACGCCGUGUUCCGGGCAGUCACUUUUGGAUGGAACGAGGGGGAAAAAUUAGCAAUUUUACCUGCAGAAUUUUCAUAUAAGAUAUAUAUACGUAGUUCCUAUCGGGGAAAAAGAAAAUCAUUCCAUGCAAAGAAAAAUUCAAAUUCCUGCGAAAGAUGGCGUGUUUUUUUGGUGCUGAUCAGCCUGUUGCGUUUGCGUGUGGACCGUGCUGUGCG